rnacentral:rRNA from 1 species
AAUUCCGAGACAGGUGCUGCAUGGCUGUCGUCAGCUCGUGCCGUGAGGUGUUGGGUUAAGUCCCGCAACGAGCGCAAUCCCUAUUUGCCAGUUGCUACCAGGUAAUGCUGGGCACUCUGGUGAGACUGCCCCGGUUAACGGGGAGGAAGUGGGGACGACGUCAAGUCAUCAUGGCCCUUACGCCUAGGGCUACACACGUACUACAAUGGCGCAUACAAAGGGCAGCGAUACCGCGAGGUGGAGCCAAUCCCAAAAAGUGCGUCCCAGUCCGGAUUGCAGUCUGCAACUCGACUGCAUGAAGUUGGAAUCGCUAGUAAUUCGAGAUCAGCAUGCUCGGGUGAAUGCGUUCCCGGGCCUU